rnacentral:lncRNA from 1 species
AUAAUAUUCCAGAUAAAAUAAGUCGUUUCUGCCAGGUGUUGACACGUGUCCUAUUUGAUGACUUUUCCAACUCAUUUCAAUUUUCGUUGAGUCACACGCUACGUGUAAAAUUUAUGUAAUACAUGAGCGUUGACACUUUGAUUUAUUGGUCAACAUUUAUUUACCGAAAUUUCGAUGUCUACACAUGUUUAUGAAAUAUGUUGUUUAUCGUCUCGUUUUUUGUGAGGAAUUAAUUGUUGGCCUAUAUUGAGAUAUAUUUUAAUAUAUCGUAUUUUAUAUAAAAACUAUGAACUGGUAGACUAUCUGAUAGAUGACUAUAGGAUGCUAGAACAUGUUUUAGAAAUCCCUAUUUAUAGUAUAGACGAUGAAUGAUUUUAUACUAUGAAAUGAUUAUUUAUGAGAGACGUAACUAUUUGUGCGUACCUAAUGGACACUAUGCCGCCUGGGGCGAGGAUCUGGUGUUGGCAGAUAGGCCGGGAGAAAUAAUCCCUAGCUACGGACUGAGGGACACGGAGUAGGCAUUGGGCCGAGAGUUGGUAAUCUCUGGCUACGGGCGCAGAAACCACGGUGUUGGCAUAGGGCCGGGAGUUAUAUUUAUUUAGUGAUCUUACUGGCAGCACAUCGCAAUUACGAGAUGAUCUGUGAGAUGAUUGAUGUUUUGGUUUCCGCGAUAUGUCUUUUGAGAUGUUUUUGGCAUGCUAGGAUUUCAAUAAACCUAUCACUUAUUAUGCUAGUAGUUUUCUUUAUAUAAACUAUGGGGGUUAGUAUCUUGAUAACUGUUUUAUUAUUAUUGUAUAUAUGAACUUGGUCCACUCACCUUUAUUUUGCGCCCCCAUUCAGGUCUUAGAAACGAGGACUACGACACGACGUACGAGACAUUCCC